rnacentral:rRNA from 1 species
AACGAACGCUGGCGGCAGGCUUAACACAUGCAAGUCGAGCGCCCCGCAAGGGGAGCGGCAGCCGGGUGAGUAACGCGUGGGAACGUACCUUUUGGUUCGGAACAACUCCGGGAAACUGGAGCUAAUACCGGAUAAGCCCUAACGGGGAAAGAUUUAUCGCCGAAAGAUCGGCCCGCGUCUGAUUAGCUAGUUGGUGAGGUAACGGCUCACCAAGGCGACGAUCAGUAGCUGGUCUGAGAGGAUGAUCAGCCACACUGGGACUGAGACACGGCCCAGACUCCUACGGGAGGCAGUAGUGGGGAAUAUUGGACAAUGGGCGCAAGCCUGAUCCAGCCAUGCCGCGUGAGUGAUGAAGGCCUUAGGGUUGUAAAGCUCUUUUGUCCGGGAAGAUAAUGACUGUACCGGAAGAAUAAGCCCCGGCUAACUUCGUG